rnacentral:rRNA from 1 species
UACGGGGGGAGCAAGCGUUGUUCGGAUUUACUGGGCGUAAAGGGCGCGUAGGCGGCCAGCACAAGUCAGUUGUGAAAUCUCCGAGCUUAACUCGGAAAGGUCAACUGAUACUGUGCGGCUAGAGUGCAGAAGGGGCAACUGGAAUUCUCGGUGUAGCGGUGAAAUGCGUAGAUAUCGAGAGGAACACCUGCGGCGAAGGCGGGUUGCUGGGCUGACACUGACGCUGAGGCGCGAAAGCUAGGGGAGCGAACAGG